UGGCCAGAAAGAACCCCAAAAAAUGGGAUGAGUUUUUUUUAGGCGACUGUUUGGCCUGUGGACAAAAAAAAAAAUUUGACCACAGCAUAGCCCUUAUUAUUUAAUGUUUGGCAGAGAGGCCAGGUAUCCCUCAGAGGUGCCAAAAGACUACGAGGUGACAACUGACAAAGUUGAGAAUGUGGCCAGGAGGGAGCAAAUAUUUCAAGGGCUAAGCAACCAACCGGAGACUUACUCAAGAGUUCGAGAAAAUGUCAAAAAAAGUCAGUCCAAGAUCCGAAAACGGAAAUUGGAAAGUGGUUGGGAGGACAAUUUUAAGGUUGGGGACUUAGUUUUUUUUUUUUUACAUUCGAGAAGAGCAGCGGAAGGAGGGGGGAAUGGAGACGGAUAUGUUGGGGCCAUUUACUAUCACAGGCAUCAGUGAGAAAGUAGUACAUUUGGCCAAGGACCAAAGCACGAUGGUCGCUAAUAUCGACCAGCUGACACCUUUUAACAAACCAGAGGACAGAAUCCCAGCUGGACUCACGAAGGUGAGCAGCUGUCCUAUACCUGACCCCCCGCCCCAACAACCACCACCCAGCCUCUCUAGCCCCAACCAACAUGCUGCCAACCCUCCACCAGCCGCAUUUGAAGGGAAUCAACCCAUCCAUGCUAUCCAGGAUAUAUGGCAGACCAAGGGCCAUAUACUCUGGUUGAAACUGGGCCCAUAUAAACUAUUUACGACAGAUUUACAGAACCUGGCAGA